GAUAAACGCUGGCGGCGUGCCUAAUGCAUGCAAGUCGCACGGAGUGUCUUUUCGGAGGCAUUGAGUGGCGAACGGGUGAGGAACGCGUGGACAACCUACCCCGGCGUGGGGAGUACCGCCCNGAAAUGGCGGCUAAUACCGCGUACGGUCCAGGGCGGACGGGCGUACCUGGAAGGAAAAGACAGUGAUGCGCGCUGGGAGGGGGUCGUGCGGCC
rnacentral:rRNA from 1 species